GGGGCUGUAGCUCAGCUUGGGAGAGCGCAUCGUUCGCAAUGAUGAGGUCAGGGGUUCGAUCCCCCUCAGCUCCA
rnacentral:tRNA from 1 species